GUCCACCAGCUUGUUGCAGCGGCCCUGAAAGCCUCCUUCAAACCGCAUCUGCCGGCUUGUCACCCAUUGCUGAGAAAAGACACGGUAGAGCUCUCUGGGGACUGGGGACCAUGUGACUUCUCCCACCUGGCUAUCCAUUCGGCCGUGCCUUCAAAGAGGUCUGGAGUGAUGAUGUUGGUGAGAGAGGCUACCGAGGCAGCACAGUAUGCACUCCUGCAAAGACGGAAACAGGGAAACACAUUAGGCUCCAAGGAAAAGCCAGAACGAGGCCCAGAAAAAUGCCUGGGUACAUUACUGCAGUCACAUCUCAUUCUUGGCACACAGCUGUUCUUCUUGGGUCUCCGAGAGGUGUGACAUUCUGUCUGGAUGGAGUUGCUCACGACACGGCUUCAGUGAAGGAACAUGGCAUUCUCUGUCUCCGCACAGGCAUACUACAGCCUCAGAAUUGAUGGUCAUAUCAAUUCAUCUCAAAAAUAGAUUGAGCCCUUUUUCCAAAGACCUACCAACGGUUCCCACAUCUCAUCUGGUGUUGAUGAGGUUCGUUCGGAUGUCUCACUGCUACGGACUCAGGACCUCUGUCUGAACUCACUCCGAAGCAGGCCACCACACUCUACUAGCUGCUCAAGCCACACAAGAGAGACAGGAAUUGGUACAUCCUUAUGCCUCUAGAGAAAAGAGCUCUGAUUUCAAGUGUUGUCAUCAGAUACGCAGAAACACACCUUUCAGCAAAAAAAAAAAAAAAAAAAAAAAAAAAAAAAAGUAGGAACAGUGCUUUGGAUAUGGCUCAGUUGGUAAAGUGCUUACCAAGCACGCACAAAGCCCUAGUUGUGCAAAACUGGUCAUGGUAAUGUAUGCCCUAAUCUCAACACUCAAGAGGCAGAGGCAGGGGGAUGGCAAGUUCAAGGUUAUUCUCAACUUGAGAUACAUGAGAUACUGUUUCAAACGGAAAACAUAAGAAGGUAGCCCUGUCUUUCCGGAAGGCAGGGUAGUUCUGGGGAUCUAACUCAGGGCUGUGCACACGCCAUGAGCAUUCUCUUCCACUAAGCUCUAUUUCCAGCUAUCUGAAAAUGAGCAAAUAAAAUAAAAUAAAAUAUGAUUUGAGAUACUCUUGUCAUUCUAUUCGUUCAGUCAUAAGUCUCAGGACAUUCAUCUUCUCCACCUGUCAUGGAACCCAUUCAUACAGUCUUUUCCAAUACCCACCAUGGAAAGUCAAAAAUUAUUUCUUUGAAUUCUACUUACAAAUCCUGACUCUAAGAGCUCAGAAGGAACAGGAGAGGGAAGGAAAAGAAAGCUUGGCUCCCAUCUUAUUCUAUGUAUAGACUUAACAUGAAGCCAACCUUACUGAGGCAUUCUAUAGAAAUCUCUGCAGAAGCCACGGGCUUGAAUGUCCUAUCAGCAUUUAUGACCGGCCAGGCUUCCACUGGCCAAAGGCACAGCAGAGGUUGAGCUGCGCCAGCAGGCAUCCUGAGUGCACAAGAGAGAGUCAAGUGUGCCGAGGGCCAAAUGCUGUCGUUUACCAUAUGCUAACUUUGAAGGUAUGAUCUAAUUUCCUCCAGGCCUUGAGCUGCUCACAAAGGCCCAGCACUGUUUUCGGAGGCUCUUGAAUCCUAAUGAGGUAGGGAGGGGGCCUGUAAUGCAGUCUGCCUUUCAUCAGAACUGACAGGGGAGGCAGUUGUGGAAUUCUGUCCUCCAGGGUGUGACGUGGCUGCUACAGUCUUGAAAUCAGAGCAGUUGUGAUGACUUCAAUAGAUCCUCACAAGAUAGUGUCUAUUAAUAUUCCUGUGUAGGAGGAGGGUGGGGGCGGGGCAUCAGACCCUUAUUGGAGACACUGGCCACUUCUUUUCUGAAACCUGCUUCCCCACUAGGUGUAUGUAAUCCUGACCUGAGCUGUACGUGGUCUUAGGUGCUAGAGAGUAUGUAGGAGGUAGAAGAUUGCUUGGGGUGAGGAUCUGAAUAAAGCAGCUAUCAUGACUAAACUGUUUCUUUGGCCUGUUAUUUUCCAAUCUACUGAGGGUGAACAGAAAUUCGCCUCCUAGGACAAGACAAUCAGCAACUAGUGGCCGGGCAGGGGAUGAAUGGAACCAGAGAUGAGUUGAGGGCAGUACAGUUACAUGGCCUCUGCUAAAGGAGAUGGGCUAGCAACUGAGGCUGAGCCAUCUGAGGGAAGAGCAUCCAGGGGGCGCUCCAAUGUGGCCUUCUUUCCCCAUGUGGUCUGGAUAAGCAUGUCUCCAUGCUGGAACAGCAAGUGAAGCCUCCCCAAUAAUGAUGUAAGACAUGAAACAGAAGCUGAGCUGUCUAACCCAAAGUCUGCAGGGGAGAUCCCAGGGCAACUGUCCUCCUCUCUACUCCUUGAUGUGACACAGGGUGACAGGCUUCUUGAUGUCUGUAUUAGAGACACCCUCAGAUGGUUGAUGGACCCAAGAAUAAAUCACCAUCCCUGACGCCUCCAUGUACGGAUGGAAUAGGACAGCCAAGAAAACCAAGACUGUGGCCGAUGAGACAAGCAGCAGAAACUGAGCUGUCUGCCCGGAGGAUGGAAUCUGCUCACGGGAGGGAGGAGUUAGAGUGGGAUGGGGCAUGUGGGUGUUGUACUCCAUGUUAGCCUUCCAGCAGGAUGCCCUAGCCUAGAUAAAGACAAGAGGGAGAGGUGCUGGCUUGCCACUGCUUAGGGCUGGAGCAAACAAUGGGAAAGUGUAAAUUGGAUCUGUACAAAUAACCCUCUGCAAUCCAAGAGUCUGGAACGCGUGGGAAAAAUCAAACAGGGAAACGAGGUAGAAACGAUAGCAAGGGAAGGAGGCCUGGGAGAGGAGCAGGUGAGAGUUCUGUGUGUUCAGCAGGGAGCUAAGAAGGACAUUAAAGCAGUGGGCGCCUUGGGACUGGGUUAUGGGUCUUUUGAGGUUUGCCAGUGACCACGCUGUGUAAUGAUCUCUGUGAGGAAGGAGAGGUGCUGGUGGACCUGGGUAAUUUAGACUGGCAUGUCCAUCUGGUUUGUAAAGGGCUAAAGCCAUCAAGAGGAGGUUUGAAAAAGAAAAACCAGAUAAAACGGCCUGUUCGUGUCCGGGUCACUUGAAAGCAAAUGAGGCAAAAAUCUGUGUUCACAUGGAAUUCGUAAAAAAGCUGACAGAAAGUCAAAUACAUUAUGAGCUUCUAGUAUAGUGUUUCUCAACCUGUAGGUCGAGACCUCCUUGGGGUCCAACAACCCUUUCACAGAGCUCACCUAAGAUCAUCAGAAAACACAGAUGAUUUGCAUUACAAUUCAUAACAGCAGCAAAAUCAUGGUUAUGAAGAAGCAACAAAAAUAAUGUUAAGGUUGGGGGGUCACCACAACAUGAGGAACCAUUCCCUAAAGUGGAAGAGGACAGUGGUGCCCAAUGCUGUGGGGGAAGGAGCCUUGAGGGUGAGAACUGCCACAGCCACUUCCCUAACAAGGUGGCCAAUGCUGCUCAUACACAAGGGCCUUGCAGGGCAACUAAGCGCCCUGUGAUGUGAGGAAUUACCGGUGUUCUUCUAAUGUGCAGAGAUGCCAGAACUACGAGCUGCCUUAGUUCCCGGCUGCCCCGAGGGUCACCAAGAACAAUGACCAUCAGCGGACUGAUACAAAGACAAAGGGGUAUAAGUAAAACUCUUGCUGGGGUGGACAAUUAUCCCCCACUAUGCUCUCUACAUUUUUCCCUGGAAAAUAUACUGGGAGUAGAGAUUCUCUACCCAACCCAGGACACUUGGAACAGCCAGCUGUGCCUGAUGAUGGCGAGGCGGUAGGAUCAGUGCUGGCCUGGAGCUUGCCAAACCCAGGAAGCCCAGUCAAGAAGCAGGCGUGGUAACCAAGAGUACAGGACUGCUACCUCUUGGUCCCAGGCUGGGCAGUACAGCACAAGGUGGCUCUAUCAGGCCCACCAGGCAUGGGUAGGCGUGCACGUGACCUAUGGCAGUACCCCAAGACGAGGAAGUAAGUUGGCUCAUGGACAAUGACUGUGGACACAGUGAGCUAAAUAAGGCCGCGCCUCCCACAUGCACUGCUGCAUCCAACAUUGCUCUUUGGAAGAAACUACUUAUAAAAGCAAGGGGAUCAAAGUCAGACACGCCUUUAACCCCAGCACUCUGGGAGGCGGAGGCAGGCUCGAGGCCAGCCUGCUCUACAGCGUGAGUUCCAGGAGAGCCACGGCUACAGAGAGAACCCUGUCUCAAACAAACAAAGCAAUGGGAUCUUCUGAAUCUCACUAAGAGUUUUAAAAAAUAUUUCCCUAGCCACUAAAUCCUAAAACCUAUUCUCACUUGCUUGGAAUAGCUGCCGGUGGUAGGCAUUUGGAGCUCCUGUCCCCACUUUGUGAAAAAAGUUCCUUUUCACAAUGUUACAGGAUACAAUGUUAACCUCUAGACGCUCUACAUUUCACAAUGUUACAGGAUACAAUGUUAACCUCUAGACGCUCUACAUUUCACAAUGUUACAGGAUACAAUGUUAACCUCUAGACGCUCUACAUUUCACAAUGUUACAGGAUACAAUGUUAACCUCUAGACGCUCUACAGAUUUGGAAAAGCACCUAAAAGAACAGAGAAACAGAAGGUAAAGAGUGUAUCCUGGGUGUGGGGGUAUCUCCCUCUGUUACUGGCAAGGGCGACCCCUAAAGUUCCACUACACAGGCUAUAUUGCUAUUGGCUCCAUAAUAAUGGUACGUGACUCAAUGGUAAGAUCCUAUUGCUGAAAUACUGUAUGCUCGGCUUGCAGAACACGAAGGAAUCAAGCUGGGAUUGAACUAGAAGCUCACUGGCUGCUUUUCGUGGUGCCACAAAACACUAUGCUGGCUGCUGAGAGAAAACUGUCACCAACAGGCCGGCUUGGCUGUGCACUCUGUGUUAAUGUCAUGAACAUAACAGGCACAAUGUGCCUGCUGGUGAAGCAAUGGCACAUCUGUUUUGGGUACAACCAACAACUUGUCAAUGGAGGGAAACUAUGUAUGGUAUUGUAAAACAGGGCAAAAAACCCUGUGCAGGCAGGAAGGCUACUGCUACUGUUUUGUUAGAUAGUGUAUCAUUACCUGUUAGCAGUUUACCUCCUACACAUUUGUCUAAACAAGUUACCUGAGAGACUCAUAAUUGGUCAAAUUGUUGAAAACAUCUUGCUGUGCUCUGUUUUUGUUUUUUCCAGACAGGGUCUCUCUGUAUAGCCCUGGCUGUCCUGGAACUCACUUUGUAGAUCAGGCUGGCCUUGAACUCAUAAAUCCACCUGCCUCUGCCUCCCCAGUGCUGGGAUUAAAGGCGUGCGCCACCACUGGCCGGCCUUGCUGUGCUCUGUAUUGCUGCUAAGAUACAGCGACCCAGUGCUCAGCAAAUAACUAUCCAUCCAUAUAAUUCCAGGGUUCAGGAAUCACUGCAGAAGAGAAUAUAAGAAUACAAAACUCAGGAGAAGGGGUGGAGUGUUGUGGAAUUCUGUCUUCCUAGGCACGACAUGACUGUUGCCAUCUUGAAAUCUUGAUUACCUACGUGACACUCAGAAAGGGGAGAGGAGGGUGUUUAGCUCUUCAGCAAGACUCCAGCCUCUCACUCCUUCCUGCCCGAUUCUGCUACCUGUGGCUUUAGAGAACACAGGAUGUACAAGAUUGGCUGGGGACAGGAACUCCAACCGCGCAGCUUUUGUGACCAUCACACGCCUGGUGAUGCAGCUGCCCAUGUCUCCCAUAUUCUCUGAACAACUCCAGCGCAUUUGAUGGUUCACCAAGCAGGACCUGCAUGAAAUUUUCUUUGACCUCUUGAUGUCCUCUCUAUCUGAGAUGGACAGAAAUAGACUCCCAAGAAAAGUCAGACAACAGACACCCAAACCACAAGUCCCAGAUCACACACAGAGCUGGAGAGGGAACCAGGUACAACUUUCUAUGUGGCUUCUUUCUGUCCCCAUACCCAGCACCAUGGCUCUCAGGCUUGUCUGCUUUGAUCUUCUCUUUACCACUGUCACCCAAACCCAAGCCAUUGUCAUCCAACUGGAUCAACCUUCUGUUUGCCCCCUCCUCCUUCCAGUCCAGAAACCAGAGGACAUGUCUGGAACACCACAAUUGAUUCACUGCAACCAGAGAACUAGGAGAGUACAGGUCAGCUCAUAUCACUGCCUACUUAAAAUCCGUAUGAAUUUAUUUGCCAGCCUCUGUAAUGAGAGCUCAGAGCCUCCUCAAUCGGUCCCCAGCCUGUCCCAGCUCAUUGUUCCCUGGCUCCCACAGGCCUCCUACAGCUCAGUAGCUGUCAGCUAACUGCUCAUCCUUGAACACAUCCUGCUCUGUCACUUGUCUCUCCUCUCUCCCCAGAGAACACUACAAAUGUCAUAGUUAAUUCACGAAUAAAUGAAUAAAUGAAAUUGAAUAAAUAAUGGCCCCCUUUUUGUUUGUUUUUCCAGUACUAGGGAUUGAAUCCGGUGUCCUAGAUAAACGAGUAAAUGCUCUAAGUUAGAGCUGCGUGUCAAACUUCCAUUUUGCGUUUUACUUUGAGACAGGAUCUCACGGUUGCUAGGCUGGCCUUUAAUUUAUAAUCCUGCUCAGUCUUCUGAGUGGACGGCUAAGGUUACAGGCCAGGUCCAGUGGACAGUGGCUCCUACCUUCGCUGUUCAUCGCUGGUGUCUGAGGUACCCAGAAGCUAUCAACACCUGAGUAAGGCACUCUUAGGAGCUACCAGGAGUUGUUGUAGGCCCCCAGGAUCGAGAGCCCAUCUCUGUCUGAUCAGGCACCAGAAUAGGCUGCUCUCAAAGUGAUAAACUGUCUCUGGCUUUGACUUUCUCUCCUCAGCACUGGGCUGCUGCUUCUAGGCAAAGGAAAAACAGAAAUGCGGAGUGAAAAACUACGGAAGUCAUGUUCUAGCAGCCAGACACAAUGGGAAGACUGUCGUGCAAAUGACAACUGUAGGCUCGUUGGCAGAUCUGUCCCAGGACCACAGCAGGGGAGGAGGAUGGCCUGGUGCCCCUUAAUGGAACACACACAGAACUGACUGGAGACGUUUCCCUGCAUUUGUCUAGCAUAUACGAACACGAGCACAGAGAAAGACUGCAUUUGGAAACUUAGAGAAUCAUAUCUAGAACUAGUGUGUUAAGGAAACACCACGGAGACCUUGCCAUGACUUGCUUGUUUGUGCCUAGUCUCAUUCAGUUUCUUUCUAAUUUUUGUUGUUGUUGAUGUCAUUUGGUCUUUCCAGACAAGGUCUCUGUGUAUCUUGGCUGGCCUGGAACUCAUAAAGCUCUGUCUGCCUCUGCCUCUGCCUCUGCCUCUGCCUCUGCCUCUGCCUCUGCCUCUGGAGUGCUGGGAUUAAAGGCUGUGCCACCAUGUCCAGCUGUUCUGACAUAGCAUUUUUGUAUGUAGGCCAGGAAGACCUUGAAUUCACUCUCUUCCUACCUCAGCCUCUUAGAUGCUGGAUGUUGUGUGUGCGCUACCAUGCCCAGCCUCAAUUAAUUAAUAAAAACUAAAUUCCCUUGCAAGCUGCUACAAUUCUCUAUCAACAGUGUAGUCUCUAAGUAAGCUUUGGCCUAAAGUCAAGACAGGUGUGGUAGUUUGAAUAAAAGGGUGUGGCCUUGUUGGAGUGGGCGUGGUUUUGUUGGAGGAAGUACAACACUAGGGGCUUGAGGUCUCAGAAGCUUAAACUAAGCCCAGUGUCUCACUCUCUCUUCCUGCUGCAUGCUGAUCUGGAUGUAGAACUCUCAGUUACUCUCCUGCACCAUCUCACCCUGCACACCACCAUGCUUCCUGCCGCGAUGAUAAUGGACUACUGAAACCACUGAACUGUAAGCUUGCCCCGGUUUAAUGUUUUCCUUUAUAAGAGCUGAUGUGGUCAUAGCAUCCCUUCACAGCCACAGACCUUAACCAAGAGAACAGGUAAGGACGUCUCUACACCUGGUUCAGCCAAAGCAGCCUGACAGUGAAUUCGAGGACCCAGGCGACAACUGACAACAUAAGCCACUCAAGAGUGUGCCCUCUCCUGGAGGGGCGCCGAAGCUGCAGGAUUACAGCCUGGUACUGUGUCACUAGCUGAAACUAGAUGCUAUCAGAAAUCCACUGAGCUUCUUCUCAAAAUCUCCUUUCAGCUCCUGGUGUAGUAACUGUGCUCAGGACUUCAAAACAGACCUAUAUUUCCAGACCUCAGCCACUAGUGCUUCGCAGGAGGCAAACAAGGCCUAUCUGGUUGGCCUAAUUUCUUUGAGAUUGUUUUAAAAUCAUCAUCAUCAUCAUCAUCACCAUCAUCACCAUCAUCAUCACCACCACCAUCAUCACCACGUGUUGAUGAUGGUAGGUGGGGUGUGCACCUACUACAGCACAUGUGUGGAGGUCAGAGGGCAACUCCUCGUAGUCUGUUUUCUUCUACCAGGGACCAAGCCUAGGUCCUCAAGCUUAUGAUAUAAAGUCCUUUACCUGUGAGUCAGAUACCCCGCUAACCGUGCCAAAAGUGUAACACGUAUGCCGAAAGCUACACAGCUAGCACGACACUGUGAAGAACUCGCUCAAGAAUCCACUGUGAGGCCAGACCCUUCGAGGAGCAGGCAGAUCUUUGUAUGAGUUCAAGACUACCCAGGUCUACACAGUAAGUUCCAAACCAUCCAAGGGAUACACAGACCCUGUCACAAAACAAAACCCACACAAAAGAUAGUGCUAUCAUCUUGAUAUUAAAAACUUCACCUCCUCCCAAAAAUGUGUUUUUCACAGACUAAAUCAUAUACAAUCUCAAUGAUCCACUGCAUUCAAGAAAUUACUUAUUUAGCAAACUCUUUAUAUGCCUCAUUGAUGCCCACAGGUCAGGAAGCUACUUGCUGGUCUAAUUAGUAUAUCUAUUUUUCCCUUUUCUUCUUUUUAAUCCAGUCAGGGUCAUGUAGCCCAGGCUACCCUCGAAAUCACUAUAUAGCCAAGGAUGACCUUGAACUCCUGAUACCCCUGCCUUUGUUUCCCAAGAGCUGAGAUGUUAAUCACAGACCACCAUAUCUAGUCAGAUACACUUCUUGAGUAAAAUACGAGGUUUGAGCCAGCAGGUACCAAUGGUACCCAUCAGUUGGUUCAAGUCCUCUCCACUUCAAUGUACUGGCCCACAAGGAACUCUGAACCCUACAAAGGAACUCUCCUGUGCCUUGAGUGUUCAGCACCCUCAGGAUUUCAUCAAAUGCAACCAGAAGGUAUUUACAGAGUUACUCUAGACUUAUUUCCCCAAGAGAGGGGAAAGCUUAUAUUACACUACAUAAUUACUUAUAGUAAACUAUUUUACACCAAACAAAUGUAUUUUGUAUCUCUAAAUCAAACUCUUUUUUUUUUUUUUAUCCAACUCGUAUUCUGACAUUUGCAUGAAAGGAGCCGAGAGAUAGUGAUACCUAAGGGCAUUAGUGUCAUGUUAGCAAUGACCAUGACACAGUGCCAGGGACACGACAUUUGCACGUUGGCGUACAGGACAAAGCAGCACUUUGCCGUGAUUCUGAGGCUUAGCAGCUCUAAGAAUAGGCACAUUUCAGCAGCCAUGGGUGCAACCGUCCACUCACCUUACGUCCACCUCACCUCCGACGUGCAUGAGAAAAGAGCCGUCGGGUUGCUUUAGGGAGUACAAAUACUGAAGGAGUUUCUCCCUGAGAAGGGGGGGAGAGGGCAGAAAGGGCAGUAGUCAGUGCCAUACAGUAGCGGACCCUCGUAGUCCCCACCCCCGAGGCCCGCAGCUUCACCUGUUAAUGACGUUGUAGGCUUCCUCUGUGCCGAUGAUGCACAGCGCAUUGACGGCUGCAUAAGUGGGUGCGAGGUGUGGGUACUGACCGGGGCCCCCUCCAAAGCCACCGUCUGGACUCUGACACAGCUCCAGGAACUGACACACGCUAGGUGCAUGGCCAACGGGGAAAACAAAGUUAGACAGCAUUAAUUUCCAAUCUCCAAAUCCCUCUCAGAUUCUAACCUUCCCUUACUCAUUCCCCUAUCUUCAAAGGGGUGAAAAUAUCCCUUUGCCACUUGACUACAACCGCCCAAAAGACUUAACUCUUCACCCCACUCCUGUCAGUUUUGUGCACACUCCUGAGUUUUCUAUUUAAGCAUUUGUCUUGCCAGAUUGCAAACACCUUGAGGUGGGGAGGAGAUCUUUGGUAGACCUGGUGCUGAGUCCCAUGCUUCUUGACCAAACCUUUCUCUUAGGUUUCAGUAAACUUGUCACCUGGAUCUGAAGCAGUACAGUCUCUUCUGAGGACCUUUUGAUUCUGCCUCUAGCUCAGGGCUCAACUGCUGCUCUCCAUGCUAGUCACAGGUCUAGAUGCAUUACUAGACCUCAGCAGUGAGCAUACUUUCUCACCCGAGCCCUCUCCGCCAACACCCUUCUGUUCCCACCACCAGUAAGAAGCCGGUUUGAGCGCAGCCCACUCUACUGUUGGGAGGAUAAAGAGCAGAAGGCUCAAGACAGCACUGCUGGGGUCAAAUGUGAGAUGCCAACACCCGCAGGCUCGCUUAGUUGGGUAUUGGUCCCCAUCUGCUGCUGCUGCUGCUGUUUGAGGAAGUAGACCCUCACAGGAAGCUAGGACUCGGGUAGACCUAGAACAAGGCCUACUUCCUGUGCACUCUCUUCUUUCUGAGUGUACAUGUAAAGCCAGCUUCCUGUUCCUGCCACAAUGUGUUCCCUGCCAAACAGUCCCUUUCACUUUCGCCUGUAAGCUGCCUUUUUUCUUCAUUCAUUUUAUGUUUGCCACUCAGGCAUCUUAUUUAUACGUAUAACAACCCUAGAAAAAGGACCCCAGGAUGUCCCGGCCCCGUGUGCUUUUGUCUUGUUUCUUCAUGGCCCAUGAUGCCAUCUGAGGUGACGAGUACAAUGGAACUGAAUUGACAGGAUUGUGUGGCCGAUUUUCUAGGUCUUUGACUGGCACAUCAGAUCUGGGCUGGUUGCCCCACACUUGUUGAACCUGCUUGUGAGUUUACAGUGAUUUUCCCAGAUCUGAGAUCAGUGGUGAUUGCUUCCCCAUCACAGCCUGGAGCCAGACAGUGGCUUUGGAGUGCGGCCGGAUAAAGACCCGGUGUUUGCCUCUCUUUUCAGUAUUGUUGAUAUUUUAAGAGCAUCAGCCUGGACAUUCAUGAGCACCAUUACAGUAUCAAGGAAAGACAGCAGAAAGGGCUUGAGUGGCUUUUGUUGGGGGCAUUUUAUCGCCGUGAUGAGAAGGUAACUAAGUCGGGCACUGCUGACUCACACCAGAGGAGAGAUUUCCCUCCGUGAUUCUUUCCUGCUAAACGACAGAGGCUCCAGUUUCCUCACAAGGCAAACCUGUUCUGAGAGGAUUUGCUGCUGGGCCCUGGCAUCGGGUGCACUUUUGCUUCAGGUGAAAUGGAGGGAGCCUUUACUUGCACAGGGCUUUCCAGAGUUUACAGGAAAGACCACUCCAGGAAGGACCAAUUUAUAGCAUCUCUCCUUCCCUACAUCUCCCAGAUCACAGCCUUCUGAUCAGGGAGAGUUCUACCCUAGACACCUCCUGGCAAGCCCGUCUUUCUAGUGGUCAGGCCUUCUUUCUGGGCUGUUUUAUCUCAUUUAUUAUUCAUUUCCUCUUCCUUUCUUUUCUUUUUUAAAAUGAGAAACAGGAGGCUGGAGAGAUGGCUCAGUGGUUAAGAGCACUGACUGCUCUUCCGGAGGUCCUGAGUUCAAAUCCCAGCAACCACAUGGUGGCUCAAAACCAUCCAUAACAAGACCUGACUCCUUCUUCUGGUAUCUGAAGACAGCUACAGUGUACUUACAUAUAAUAAAUAAAAUAAAUCUUUUUAAAAAAAUAAAAUAAAAUGAGAAACAGUUUAUUCUGAGUCAAAUAUGAGUGACGAGAAGCCUGGGGGUUUCAGUUUGCCCUAAAGGAUAUGUUCCAACACAGAAGUAGUUACAAAAAUUUUAAAAUCUUUUUGUAAAUUAGUUUUUGAAAGUUAGCACACAACAUGGUGGGUUUAGUCAUGGCAUCUGAGCUUAUGCAUCUUAGACUGUUCUAAUUUAUCCUCUCCCCCGUCCUCCCCAGUCUGCCUGCGCUCCUCCCCUCACCCAGACAGCACCCCCUUCUGUUUUCAGCCACGUGUGUGCUCCAAUAUUAUCUUCCCCUUUCCCUUAAGCUCUCUUCCUUCCUUUGUAUGAUCUUUCCAGUUGUAUGACUUCAUACAUACAGAAUGCAGGCAUAUAUGUAACUUUAAACCCAUCAGCUCAUUAUUACUUAUUCUCUGCUGCCAGGGAGACCAUAAAGGCUAAUUUCCAUAAAGUCUGAAGUUCAUUGCUCCACACCCACAGCAUACAGUUUUCUUUCUUGAGACAAGGUCUCGUGUGUCCCAGGCUACCCUCCAGCUUACUAUGGAGCUGAGACCGACCUUGAACUUCUGACCCACCUCCUCCUGCCCCCCUUCCUCCCAACCCCCCACUCCCACACCACCCCGAGCCGCCCCUACCUUCACCUCCAAAGUAUUCAGAUCACAGAUGUGGUUCAUGAGGGGCUGGGGGUCUCUAACUACUAAGAUUCAUCAGCAGGCCUCUGUUUUCUGGUUUGGUUUGCUUUGUUCUUUUGAGGCAGGGUCUCUCUCUCUACAGCUCAGUGUGGCCACAAGCUCAGCAAUUAGUCAGCUACAGCCUCCCACGUGCUAUGAUUACUGGUGUGACCAUCACACCGUUACUUUUAAUUCCAGGCUUUCCAUUAUGUACACAGGUACAGCCACAGACUGGCUGUUCUAGUCUUCACAGGUUAAGACAAUUCUUUUUGCUUCUCCUUAGACCUAAAAUCCUUAUUCAAGGAUUGAAACUAGAGUUUAUAGUCAGAAAAUCAAGCAAUCAUAGAGUACAUU